rnacentral:rRNA from 1 species
GAUCCUGGCUCGGGAUGAACGCUGGCGGCGUGCUUAACACAUGCAAGUCGAACGAAGCACUUUACUUGAUUUCCUUCGGGGAUGAUUGUUCUGUGACUGAGUGGCGGACGGGUGAGUAACGCGUGGAUAACCUGCCUCACACAGGGGGAGUAACAGUUGGAAACGACUGCUAAUACCGCAUAAGCGCACAGCACCGCAUGGUGCAGUGUGAAAAACUCCGGUGGU